rnacentral:rRNA from 1 species
AAUGGGCGAAAGCCUGAUGCAGCGACGCCGCGUGAGGGAUGAAGGCCUUCGGGUUGUAAACCUCUUUCAGCAGGGAAGAAGCGAAAGUGACGGUACCUGCAGAAGAAGCACCGGCUAACUACGUGCCAGCAGCCGCGGUAAUACGUAGGGUGCGAGCGUUGUCCGGAAUUAUUGGGCGUAAAGAGCUUGUAGGCGGUUUGUCGCGUCUGCAGUGAAAAUCCGGGGCUCAACCCCGGACUUGCUGUGGGUACGGGCAGACUAGAGUAUGGUAGGGGAGACCGGAAUUCCUGGUGUAGCGGUGGAAUGCGCAGAUAUCAGGAGGAACACCGAUGGCGAAGGCAGGUCUCUGGGCCAUAACUGACGCUGAGAAGCGAAAGCAUGGGGAGCGAA